rfam:Myotis lucifugus cont2.62089, whole genome shotgun sequence.
AGGCCUACAGAGAGACAGGAAGGGUCUGAUCUGCAGCCUCCGUGGCAGCUGUUGAUCAGCCAUUGCCUCUCUCUUGCUCUCCA